GAGCACUCGGGCCUGCGCCUGGGUGCUGGCAGCCUUGCCGCUCGCUGUGCCAGUGCCUGGUGGGCCGUUCUGGCCAUCCAGCAUGGUGGACUACUACGAGGUGCUGGACGUGCCCCGGCAGGCCUCAUCCGAGGCCAUCAAGAAGGCGUACCGCAAGCUGGCGCUCAAGUGGCACCCCGACAAAAACCCUGAGAACAAGGAGGAAGCGGAGAGGAGAUUCAAGCAGGUGGCCGAGGCCUACGAGGUGUUGUCGGACGCCAAGAAACGCGAUAUCUAUGACCGCUAUGGCGAGGCGGGGGCGGAGGGCGGCUGCACAGGCGGCAGGCCCUUCGAGGACCCCUUCGAGUACGUCUUCAGCUUCCGCGACCCAGCCGACGUCUUCAGGGAGUUCUUCGGCGGCCAGGACCCAUUCUCCUUUGACCUCUUGGGAAACCCGCUGGAGAAUAUUUUGGGGGGGUCAGAGGAACUGCUGGGGAAGCAGAAGCAGAGCGUCUGCACCCCUUUUCUCUGCCUUCAGUGAAUUUCCAGCUUUUGGGGGUGUUUUUUCUUCUUUUGAUACAGGAUUUCGUUCCUUUGGCUCCCUGGGAAGUGGGGGCCUUUCUUCCUUCUGCAUGUCCUACGGUAGUGAUGGGACAGGCAGCUUCAAGUCCAUGUCGACUUCCACUGAAAUAGUUGAUGGUAAAAAAAUCACCACCAAGAGAAUCAUUGAGAAUGGCCAAGAAAGGGUGGAAGUGGAGGAAGAUGGAGAGUUGAGUUAAAGUCCUUCAUAAUAAAUAGCAAAGAGCAGUUACUCCGCAUUGACACCAAGUAAUUCCAGUCCACAUUUGACUUUAAGCACAUCUGGAGGAAUAGCGGACUUUUUUUAGGAUUGAAAGUGAACUUUACUUUCAGAACAGCUGUACCCAAGAAUUUAUAAACACUUCAUGCCAACACCUGUUCUUAUCGUUGGGACUACACGGAUAGGACCUCUGUUUGUCUUUCAAUCGUUGUAAAAUAUCUGUAUGCAAUUUGCUAUUUAUUAAACUUAAGCCUGAGGCAGACAAUGAUUAUUUGCUAGUGGUAGGACAGAAUGUUCAGUUCAGCACUUUGAGCAUUACCUUUUUCCGUUGGGAAAGUGUGAGCCAGGUGGUUUGCUCUAAAUCAUUUGACUUUAUUGUUUAGUGUGUAGUGGUGAAAUCUACAAAUAAUAUCAAUACUUCUGGCUUAAUUUAAUGAUGGUUCAAAACAACAUGCAUUUAUUAUCUUAAUA